rnacentral:rRNA from 1 species
CUACGGGAGGCAGCAGUGGGGAAUCUUGGACAAUGGGCGCAAGCCUGAUCUAGCCAUGCCGCGUGAGUGACGAAGGCCUUAGGGUCGUAAAGCUCUUUCGCCAGGGAUGAUAAUGACAGUACCUGGUAAAGAAACCCCGGCUAACUCCGUGCCAGCAGCCGCGGUAAUACGGAGGGGGUUAGCGUUGUUCGGAAUUACUGGGCGUAAAGCGCACGUAGGCGGACUGGAAAGUUGGGGGUGAAAUCCCGGGGCUCAACCUCGGAACUGCCUCCAAAACUACUAGUCUAGAGUUCGAGAGAGGUGAGUGGAAUUCCGAGUGUAGAGGUGAAAUUCGUAGAUAUUCGGAGGAACACCAGUGGCGAAGGCGGCUCACUGGCUCGAUACUGACGCUGAGGUGCGAAAGUGUGGGGAGCAAACAGGAUUAGAUACCCUGGUAGUCCACACCGUAAACGAUGAAUGCCAGUCGUCGGCAAGCAUGCUUGUCGGUGACACACCUAACGGAUUAAGCAUUCCGCCUGGGGAGUACGGUCGCAAGAUUAAAACUCAAAGGAAUUGACGG